rnacentral:lncRNA from 1 species
GAAUAGGUGAACUUGGAGCUGCACGUCCUCGCUUCAUGACCGCAAUGGUUGUUGAUUCGUCGAGGUCCCGGAUCUCCAGGGUGGCAGCAUUGAAGCAUACCAUAAAGUCUUGUAGAGAUUCUCCGUCUUACUGUCUGAUGGAGAAAAGUUUGUCAGAUGUUCGCGGUAUCUUUCGAUUGAUGUCGAAAUGCAUCAAGAAGAGUUGUUCGAGC